GAUGAACGCUGGCGGCGUGCCUAAUACAUGCAAGUCGAGCGAACAGACGAGGAGCUUGCUCCUCUGACGUUAGCGGCGGACGGGUGAGUAACACGUGGAUAACCUACCUAUAUGACUGGGAUAACUUCGGGAAACCGGAGCCAAUACCGGAUAAUAUAUUGAACCGCAUGGUUCAAUAGUGAAAGACGGUUUUGCUGUCACUAUUAGAUGGAUCCGCGCCGGAUUAGCUAGUUGGUAAGGUAACGGCUUACCAAGGCGACGAUGCGUAGCCGACCUGAGAGGAUGAUCAGCCACACUGGAACUGAGACACGGUCCAGACUCCUACGGGAGGCAGCAGUGGGGAAUAUUCGACAAUGGGCGAAAGCCUGACGGAGCAACGCCGCGUGGGUGAUGAAGGUCUUCGGAUCGUAAAGCUCUGUUAUUAGGGAAGAACAGAUGUGUAAGUAACUAUGGACGUCUUGACGGUACCUAAUCAGAAAGCCACGGCUAACUACGUG
rnacentral:rRNA from 1 species